rnacentral:tRNA from 1 species
AGGGGAUUAGUAUAAUUUAGUAUACCUGGCUUGCAUUCAGGAGGUAUAUUUUUAUCCUCUA